GACCAUCGUGUCUCUACACGGAGACAAGAUGGAGAGAGUUGAGACGUCGUGGGACGUAUCUUAAUCUGGCUGGACAACGUCUGUCAUCCCAGAGCCAGAAAAGCAGCACUGAGGGCCACGGCCUUGCUGGCUCGUUCCCACCCCCAGGACGUGGUUCUGAGCUGUGUGGCACACACGCUGUCCUCGGACAGAUGUGCCAUUGAGCUGUGGAAGGCCCUGGGGAA